GACAUCGAUGUCUAGGGGUUCUGAGAGGAUUUUCCCCCACACUGGUACUGAGACACGGACCAGACUCCUACGGGAGGCAGCAGUAAGGAAUAUUGGUCAAUGGACGAAAGUCUGAACCAGCCAUGCCGCGUGCAGGAUGACAGCCCUAUGGGUUGUAAACUGCUUUUAUACGAGAAGAAACCUCCCGACGUGUCGGGGGCUGACGGUAUCGUACGAAUAAGGACCGGCUAACUCCGUGCCGGCAGCCGCGGUAAUACGGAGGGUCCGAGCGUUAUCCGGAUUUAUUGGGUUUAAAGGGUGCGCAGGCGGAAUAAUUAGUCAGUGGUGAAAUCUCUCGGCUCAACCGAGAAACUGCCAUUGAUACUGUUAUUCUUGAGUAUAGUUGUAGUGGGCGGAAUAUAGCAUGUAGCGGUGAAAUGCUUAGAUAUGCUAUAGAACACCGAUCGCGAAGGCAGCUCACUAAACUAUAACUGACGCUCAGGCACGAAAGCGUGGGGAGCAAACAGGAUUAGAUACCCUGGUAGUCCACGCCGUAAACGAUGAUAACUCGAUGUUGGCAAUACACCGUCAGCGUCCAAGCGAAAGCGUUAAGUUAUCCACCUGGGGAGUACGAUCGCAAGAUUGAAACUCAAAGGAAUUGACGGGGGCCCGCACAAGCGGAGGAGCAUGUGGUUUAAUUCGAUGAUACGCGAGGAACCUUACCUGGGCUCAAAUGUAGAAUGACAACUCCGGAAACGGAGCCUUUCUUCGGAACAAUCUACAAGGUGCUGCAUGGUUGUCGUCAGCUCGUGCCGUGAGGUGUCGGGUUAAGUCCCAUAACGAGGGCAACCCCUAUUCUUAGUUGCCAUCAGGUAAUGCUGGGGGCUCUAAGAAAACUGCCUACGCAAGUAGUGAGGAAGGUGGGGAUGACGUCAAAUCAGCACGGCCCUUACGUCCAGGGCUACACACGUGCUACAAUGGCCGAUACAGAGGGCAGCUACCUGGUGACAGGAUGCAAAUCUCGAAAAUCGGUCUCAGUUCGGAUCGAAGUCUGCAACUCGACUUCGUGAAGUUGGAUUCGCUAGUAAUCGCGCAUCAGCCAUGGCGCGGUGAAUACGUUCCCGGGCCUUGUACACACCGCCCGUCAAGCCAUGGAAGCUGGGGGUACCUGAAGUUCGUUACCGCAAGGAGCGACCUAGGGUAAAACUAGUGACUGGGGCUAAGUCGUAACAAGGUA
rnacentral:rRNA from 1 species